AGAGUUUGAUCCUGGCUCAGGACGAACGCUGGCGGCGUGUUAACCCAUGCAAGUCGAGCGGGGAUCGCAAACGGAAGUUUCGGAUGGAAGGUUGUGAUUUUAGCGGCGGACGGUGAGUAACGCGUGAGCAAUCUGUCCCAGACAGGGGGAUACACUUGGAAACAGGUGCUAAUACCGCAUAAGACCACAGCAUCGCAUGGUGCAGGGGUAAAAGGAGAAAUCCGGUUUGGGGUGAGCUCGCGUCCGAUUAGCUAGUUGGUGAGGUAACGGCCCACCAAGGCGACGAUCGGUAGCCGACCUGAGAGGGUGAUCGGCCACAUUGGAACUGAGACACGGUCCAAACUCCUACGGGAGGCAGCAGUGGGGAAUAUUGGGCAAUGGGCGCAAGCCUGACCCAGCAACGCCGCGUGAGUGAAGAAGGUUUUCGGAUUGUAAAGCUUCUGUCCUUGGUGACGAAGAAAGUGACGGUAGCCAAGGAGGAAGCCCCGGCUAACUACGUGCCAGCAGCCGCGGU
rnacentral:rRNA from 1 species